rnacentral:sRNA from 1 species
UCUUAUUUAGUCACCAAGCUAUGGGCAAAAAAACGUGUUAAGAUGACUAAACGCGUUGUUAUACAGCAACAACCAGACAUGGAAAAAGAAAAGCAAUAACUAGUUCGGAAUGGUGGCCGAGCCAACGAUCCCUGCAUCUCAUGAAUUCAGAGAAGAUGCUCUGCGAGUCCCUCGCUCUUUUGCUCUCAUAUUGCCGGUCGGAUAGAUCUGAUUCCCUAUGAACAUUCAUUUGUUACUAAAUUCGCUACGCAGAAAAAACUGGAAACAGAUCAGCUGUAAACUUUGGAAACAACUCCGGCACCAACUGUCCUCCCUCCUUCCCUCAGCGCAAAUCUCAUACCUGGCUCAAGGGGAACAGGUGAUAUCAACUCAAAUCCUGCAGUUACAUUAUCACCAGGCAUAACCAUUUCCACGCCAUCAGGUAACACAACUUUUCCAGUGACAUCGGCAGUCCUAAAGUAGAACUGUGGACUGUAAUUUGACAAGAAGGCUGUGUGGCGACCACCUUCAUCCUUUGUAAGGACGUAAAUUUCCGCCUCAAACUUUUGGUACGUCUUAACGGUACCAGGUAUGCUAACCUGGCCACGCUGUACAUCACCACGCUUAAGACCACGAAGAAGAAGACCAACAUUAACAGACCUCUCCAUGAUCCAGUAUCUUUUUGAACAUCUCAACACCAGUAACUGUAGUCUUCAAGGGACCACUCUUCAAACCUAGGAUCUCAACAUCUUCACCAGUUUUGAUUGUCCCCUGCUCAACACGCCCUGUCACAACAUUAAUCACCUGGAUAGAGAAAACAUCUUCUAUCGGCAUCAAGAAAGACUUAUCAAGCUGCCUCACAGGAUCAGGGAUAUACUCGUCAACUGCAUCCAUUAGUUUCAAAAUGGCAUUCUUUCCAAUCUCAUCAUUAGUCCCCUGUAAGGCUGACAAGGCGGAUCCACGGAUGAUUGGAAUCUCAUCACCAGGGAACUUGUAGAAACUGAGGAGCUCUCGAAGCUCCAUCUCUACAAGCUCUAGUAGCUCGGGGUCAUCAACAGCAUCAACUUUGUUUAAGAAACAUACAAUGAUUCAAAACCUGUCGGGCCAGAAGAAUAUGCUCUUUCGUUUGUGGCAUGGGGCCAUCAGGAGCUGAUACGACAAGAAUACCACCAUCCAUUUGAGCAGCUCCAGUGAUCAUAUUCUGAAAAUCAUGCCCUGGGCAGUCCACAUGAGCAUAAUGCCUUUUAGCAGUCUCUGCUAAGGCUCACCGUUGCAAUGGUGAUUCCUCUUGCUUUCUCCUCCGGGGCCUUGUCGAUCUCGUCAAAAGCAACAGCUUUAGCCUUCCCUGCCUCAGCCAGACCUUGGUAAUCGCAGCAGUGAGUGUGGUUUUGCCAUGAUCGACGUGCCCAAUGCAACGGAUCUGAUCCAAGAAGGACUCACGUGCGGGUGAAGGUGGCCAUGGACCUCGCCCACAGGGUUCCAGCCAGAGGCGGUGGCUGCUGGGGCGCCGCCGCCGCAGCCGCCGACGCAUCCGGUAGCGCCGUGGGGCCCGAGAUCACGGCGGCGCGGAGGGUGGGGUAGGAGAGGAUGCGGCGGGCGCCAUGGCUCCGGAGCACUGCGGCUGCGGCCAUCGCGUUCGCGUUCGCGGCGGCGGCGGCGGCGGCGCUAGGUGAGAGGAGGAGAGAGACGGGUUUAGGGCUUUAGGAGUCGAAUGGGGAGGAGAGGCGGC